UAGCUAUAUGGUUUGCGGCUUUUGAGCCUGUAAUCCAUAAGGAUAAAAUUUAAUAAGCAAUAUUGAUGUAGAAAUAUAUAUAUGUCACAUCAAUAAUCAAGAUUAGGUGUUAUCUUCUUUUACUCAAAGCACUUACGAGCAAAAUGACCCAAUGUGUCAUAAUUGUAACACUUUAUCUUGAUCUUAUCUUUUUUCUCUCCCAAACUGCUUAUCCUUUUUGUUAUAGUUGGUCAUAUUCUUCUUAGGUGUAG
rnacentral:lncRNA from 1 species